CCUACGGGGGGCAGCAGUGAGGAAUAUUGGUCAAUGGGCGGGAGGCUGAACCAGCCAAGUCGCGUGAGGGAAGACGGCCCUACGGGUUGUAAACCUCUUUUGUAAGGGAGCAAGGUGCAGGUCGCGUCCUGCUGUGCGAGUACCUUAUGAAUAAGGAUCGGCUAACUCCGUGCCAGCAGCCGCGGUAAUACGGAGGAUGCGAGCGUUAUCCGGAUUUAUUGGGUUUAAAGGGUGCGUAGGCGGAUGUACAGGUCAGCGGUAAAGUCGCUGGGUUCAACCCCGCUCCGCCGUUGAAACUGUGGCGCUUGAGUACGCGAAGGGUAGGCGGAAUGCGUGGUGUAGCGGUGAAAUGCAUAGAUAUCACGCAGAACUCCGAUCGCGAAGGCAGCCUGCCGGCGCGCAACUGACGCUGAUGCACGAAAGCGUGGGUAUCGAACAGGAUUAGAUACCCUUGUAGUC
rnacentral:rRNA from 1 species